ensembl:lncRNA
AAGAAAGAAGGGGGAAGGGGUGGGGGCGGGGAGAGAGGGCGGAGGGAGAGAAGAGAUUUAAAAAGUAACAUCUGUGGCUAAACUUAGUCGUGAGCCUUGGAGAAAAUAAGAUGAAAGCAAGGAAUGGGACGGAGUGAGGGUUACCGGUGCUCAGCUGGCUCCAAUUACAACCUAAUAGAGAACGAAACAGAUUGCGCAGUCGUUUCAGGCUUAAUAAAAGAACAGCCUUCUUGCGUUAAUCUAGUCCGGGCAGUCAGAGAAGCUGAGUCCUCCCGGGAGGCAGAUGUAGAAAGAAAAGCUCUCCUCGCCUCAAGCUCAGUAGACGCCACCUAGUGGGCAAAUGGCAGACUCGCACUCAGCCGGCAACCGUGGCCAGCCCAGGUUUGGUAUUUCCUGUUCACCUUGCUUCACCUACAAAAUCCAGAGGUGUAAAUGGUGUGUUCGCCUCUCAAAAGCUGCCCCUCACUUUGGGGGUAGAGGCAGCAGAUGAUUCAGGCUAGCGGAAAGUGGCCCAAGAGAGCCAGAGAGCCCUGAGAGCUGGGGUAGACAUGGGGGCCUCGGUGGCUGCCAGACUCAAGACAGGACUUGGGAACCAGAGAGGUUGAAGACUGGCCAGGGCUUACAGCUAGCUGUGGGCAGCAGGAAACUGAGGGUCCGGAACCUGGGGUGCUUGCUGAGGCAGGCUGGAACUCACUGGUCCUCAAGACAGAGAUCUGACAUUUAGAAGGUCAUUGUUAUUCAAGGCAGUGGCACCAGCCAGCAGAAAUAUAGUGGAGAGAUUCAUUCUAGCCAGGGACCGUCAUUCCUCUGGCCCGUUCUGUAGUUUAUACCACCGCGGGUGCAUUCUGGACCUGGAGAGAACUCCUGGGGCCCUUAGGAGCAUGGGCUUAAGGAAUGUUUCAGCCGGUGUGAAUUGAGGUGUCUUUUUCCCGAGUUAUAGUUGACAUAUGACAUAUUAGUUUCUGGUGUACAAUGUAAUGAUUCCAAAUUUGGAUUUAUUGUGAAACGAUCACUGCAAUAAGGUUAGUUAACUUGCAUCAUCAUAGAUAAAGAAAUUGAUAAGGACUUUUAAGAUCUACUCUCUUAGCAACUUGCAAAUAGGCAGCACAGUAUUAUUAACUAUAGUUGCCCUGUUGUACAUUACACCCUCAUGACUCUUUCAGAACUGGAAGUUCGUACGUUUGACCCCAUUACCCAUUUUUCUCACUCCCCAACCCCCAACUCUAGCAACCACCAAUCUGUCCUCUGCAGCUGUGAGGUUAGGAAUUUUUGUUUUUGCUUUUUAGAGUCCACAUCUAAGUGAGAUAAUAUGAUGUUUGUCUUUCUCUAGCUUACUUCACUUAGCAUAGUGCCCUCAUGUUGCAUAAUGUCCAUCCAUGUUGUUGCAGAUGGCAAGAUUUUCUGUUUUAUUGCUAAAUAAUAGUCUAUUUUAUAUAUAUAUGUAUAUACGUAUANNNNNNNNNNNNNNNNNAUCCGCUAGGCCAUCAAUGGACAUGUGAGUUGCUUCCAUGUCUUGGCUGUCGUAAUGCUGCAGUGAACAUGGGAGUG